GACGAACGCUGGCGGCGUGCUUAACACAUGCAAGUCGAACGGAAAGGCCCUGCUUUUGUGGGGUGCUCGAGUGGCGAACGGGUGAGUAACACGUGAGUAACCUGCCCUUGACUUUGGGAUAACUUCAGGAAACUGGGGCUAAUACCGGAUAGGAGCUCCUGCUGCAUGGUGGGGGUUGGAAAGUUUCGGCGGUUGGGGAUGGACUCGCGGCUUAUCAGCUUGUUGGUGGGGUAGUGGCUUACCAAGGCUUUGACGGGUAGCCGGCCUGAGAGGGUGACCGGCCACAUUGGGACUGAGAUACGGGCCAGAGUCCUACGGGAGGCAGCAGUGGGGAAUAUUGCACAAUGGGCGGAAGCCUGAUGCAGCAACGCCGCGUGCGGGAUGACGGCCUUCGGGUUGUAACCCGCUUUCGCCUGUGACGAAGCGUGAGUGACGGUAAUGGGUAAAGAAGCACCGGCUAACUACGUG
rnacentral:rRNA from 1 species